GCUUGCUGUUCUCUGGUGAAUUCUCUCUUCAUAAACAACAAUGUACAGCUGUGCAUACAAUGUACAGAUACUUCUAGAGCAUAUAUGGGGGAGACUUCAGUCACGUUUGGAGCACGCUCUUUCACGGAUGCCUGUGGAUGUGGACUUCUUAGAACUGAUCUGUGUUCAGGAGUUGGUUUUCCUGAGUGCUGUAUCCUCCAGGUCAUCAUUCCUGUGGACAUAUGGGAAGGCUUAACUGGUCUGCAUCAUGCUAUUACUUUAGAGAGGCAAAGAAACGAGACACAUGUUGUGACAGCACCAUUUGAACAAGGAAAUAGUGGACGACCAAAAGAAAUCAUUGGUCGAUGGUAAAGGGAGCUUUAAAAGCUGAAGGCCACAAGGUACAAUAUGAGCGAGUGAGGGCAUCGCUGCAUGGAGGAGACACACUAGGAGUUUUAUCCAGGAUGACAGAGCUGGGUUGUGUUGUCCGGAGGAGGGAUUCAGUCCCAGGACCUAAAUCUAUGAUGCACAUAGACACCAAUCACAAAUUGAUAAGGUAAGUUUAAAUGUUGUUGUUACACAUAACAUAUUAAUGGUCCAUUGACCAUUUUAACAAUGUCCUUACUACAUUUCUGUGCCUUCGCCGCAGGAGAACUCUUGCUGUCUAUGGAAGGUCUGAGAGCUCAUGGAUUACAUCAAAAAAUUAUCAUAAUUAAUGUUUUUAUAGGGAUUGUGUUCCUUUAAAGGGAUACUUCAGCCAUAAAUGAAAAUUGUCAUAAUUUAUUCACCCUCAUGUCAUUCCAAAUCUUUUUCAUUCCUUCAUGAAUCCAGAAAAAAUGAUCAGAGAUUCCAAGAAAAUAUUAAGCAGCACAACCAUUUCUAACACUGAUAUUAAGAGCAUCAAAUCAGUAUAUUAGAAUGAUUGCUGAAGGAUCAUGUGACACUGAAGACUGGAGUAAUGACUGGAGAAAAUUCAGCUUCGACCACAGAAAUAAAUUAUAUUUUAAAGUAUAUUAAAAAAACCA
ensembl:lncRNA